rnacentral:lncRNA from 1 species
GUGCGUCAUUUGAUUCAGGUGUGGACCUUGACGUCUGCACCUCUUAAUACGGUGUCACCCAUGUUCUUCGUUUGCCCAGUAGUUCAAAGUGCGGUGUUGGCAGUAUCUUGCUCAGUGUGUUUGUACUCGUAGUGUACCUGCUCAUAGAGACAAGGCAGAGAUCAAGUGCAUGGGCCCUGUUGGUGGAAAACACCAAUAGAACCAAAAGUGUAUUUGUUCUUCUCUAACCUUAAGUAUGGUGAGCAAGACAAAGUUGAUGAAUGAUAAGUUCAUGAGUGUAGCAUUU